rnacentral:rRNA from 1 species
AUUGAACGCUGGCGGCAGGCUUAACACAUGCAAGUCGAGCGAGCGGCGGACGGGUGAGUAAUGUCUGGGAAACUGCCUGAUGGAGGGGGAUAACUACUGGAAACGGUAGCUAAUACCGCAUACCAUCAUAUAUGCCCAUAUGGUAUUAGCUAGUAGGUGGGGUAAUGGCACACCUAGGCGACGAUCCCUCGCUGGUCUGAGAGGAUGACCAGCCACACUGGAACUGAGACACGGCCCAGACUCCUACGGGAGGCAGCAGUGGGGAAUAUUGCACAAUGGGCGCAAGCCGGAUGCAGCCAUGCCGCGUGUGUGAAGAAGGCCUUAGGGUUGUAAAGUACUUUCAGCGAGGAGGCGUUACUCGCAGAAGAAGCACCGGCUAACUACGUGCCAGCCGCCGCGGUAAUAC